UGAUACAGAUCAGGUACACCUACACUCCCA
rnacentral:piRNA from 1 species